CUGGGCUGUGGGUGGAGGCACAAUCCUGUCAGAGGCGAGUGCCGGCAGCUGAGAGCACAGCCCUGCACAAGCUGUGCCCCCGCUCCCCUUCCCCAGUCCUAUCUAAGGCACUCUGUGAGCCCGUGCCCCCAGCACAGGCCAUCACUAAGGGCUGCAGUUGCUGAAGAAGAAGAAGAACGCCUAGGAGAGACGGGUGAAGAAGAGAAAGGAGAAGAAAUAAGAUGAGAAAAGCAGUGCGGAAGAUGCCAGUGAAGAGCAGGGAGAAGCAGCAGCCUCCAGCAGGUCAGGCAAGAAACUGCCCCUCCCAGAGCAGAGUCCCAGAGAAAGGAAGAAGUGCCGAGUUUUGGCCACAUGGUGGCAGCACCGACCUGCUCCCGGCGCCUCAUCGCUGCUUCCCCCACGUGCCGUGCCGCGAUUUGGAGAUGGGAUGGCACGGAAAAGCGGCGGCCAGCUUUGGUGUUUGGGGUUUCGAGCGAACCGCGUCUCCUGGCAAGUCGGCACACACAGCAAAGGCAGAACUUUGCGUGCGAUCUUGAAGCGCAAGAGCGGGCAGCAGAGAGGCAGUACGCACAUGGAGUUUUAGGUGGCCAAGCGAGGUCUUUAGAUCAGAGGAAGAUUCAGGUUGUGUCCUUGUAAAGCCCCCCUCUGGGUCUUUUUCAAGCUCUGCGUCUCUCCCCUUCGAGCUUUUCUGGAAUGAUUUCAGUGCUCUGUGCCUCAGUUUCCCUACCCGUAAACCAGGAAGAACAGCAAUUUUCCUCCGCUUCUCUGGGUUUUCCAAUUUACUCUUUUUGUUUAACCCCCUUUUAUGUUUCUUUGGAAAGCAGCUACCACUAGUAAAUACUAACGAGUCCUUUUCAGUCUCAGGUUUGAGUCAGCUACAGAGGCAUCAGCCAUUCUGUGCAGCAGCAAAUAGAGUGUGCUCGAGUCCUUCAGAGACAGUAAAAAAAGGGUACAAAGGAAAAUAGGGGGAAACAACAAAGUCUAAAGCCAUAAUGAAAGAGCAAACUGCAAACGAGAUCCUCCGGCAGAGCGACGGGGCUGCGGUCCCGGGGGCAGACGCACAUGCUCGCGUGACAACUGAGGCCAUUAAAGUAAAGAGUGCCAAUUUUAGCUAGAAUGAAAACUCCCAAAUCUGUUUCAAAAAAGGCGUAUGUGAGUUUGAAGGACUCGAUCGAUGACUUGGAUGAUUUCUGCUUGGACUUGAAAGCGAGAAAAAGCCCAACAAAGCAUGGCAAGCCAACAGCAAAUACAGAGCAGGCAUUUUAAUGGGUGGAAAGGUAGCCUUCAUUUCUGAGCUCAUAAAUUUUGGGGAGAGCAUGUUAAACAUAAGUUCACUUUGUCUCUUGCUUGAGGCUUUUCUGUUUACUGUGGGAAUAACAGAAGAAAGUAUGAUCCGACAAGUAUAUAUUUUGAAGCAUUGCUGUAGAUCUGUAGAUACAGACUGUGGACUAUCUGCUAGCAUUUGGGUCUGUGAAAAGAGACUGGCUGGUCUAACUCAUGGCUGGUUAGACUGAGCUGCAAAUGUGGGAUGAUCGCUGUGAAGAGAGGACUUUGGAACACUGAUUUGCAUAUCCUAUGGCUGUAGUAGCUCAUUCUGUGGUCAAAAGACACUGAGGAAAGAAAGAAGGUAACUGUUGUUAAGCUAGAUACCUUUGAUUCGAUGCGCGUUUUGGCCAGAGUAUUGCAGAGCCACAGAUAGACCUUGAAUUUGGAGCUUCUUUAGCCAAGGACGUCUGUGUGGUCCUGUUAACACUGGCUACAAGAUGCUCUAGCAAACCAUUACUUGUGGGGCUUCAGUGCUUGGCUGAGCAGAGGAUCCCUGUUUUCCCCCAAAGGAUGGAAAGUGCCUUGGUUUACUAACAUUCAGAGCCUGACUACACCUGUCUGGUGCACUUCUCAUUGAUAGGAGCAAACUGGACUUUAGUAGAAUGAGUGAACAGAGCUCUGGAAUUCUUUACACAGCCACUAGGCCAGUGAUGAGGUGAUAGAAUUUUGGUAGAUGAGGGAUGAUAACAGUGAUCUCAUGGGAACCUGGAAAAGCUCUGACCCCUGCUCAAGAAGGAUGGGAUCUUUUGCAGCUGGUGAGGAUGUCAACCCUGAAACAUGUAUGCCAACUGCAGGCUGUAAGAAGCACAGAAGGAUCUUAAGGCCAAGAAGAAGUGGAUGACUUCUGGAAAGAAAAACAGUUGCUGUCAAGAACUGCAGUAUCCAGAGGCUUCAAGUGACGCUGGUGAUUCUGUCUUUGUAGAAUCUGACUACCAAAAAGGGGGAGUGAAAGACCUGAAAGAGAGUCAGAAGGGCAUAAAACUCGCACCUCCACAGAAUCUGAGAGAGCCAAUCUCCAGAGGCAGUCCAGACUUGCUUGUUAGAAGGAGAGAAAGAAGCUGUGAAAAAAGUACAGAAAACAAAGUGCCAACUGUGGCAUUACAACAAAGUGCAGAGGUAGAAUCAGAUAGCUCGGAUCGUGAAUUUGAAUCAUUAAUAGAACGGAUAAGGAAACGAAGUAUACCUCAAAAACCUGCGUUAAGCACAAAUAAAACUGUCCACCAGGCAAGCACAAGAGUGGGCUGUUCAUUGCAAUGAUUGUGAGUAUGCUCUUCCCUGUGUUAUUGAGGUUCGCAGCUGGGGUUCUCUUCUGGAUUUUCAUCUUUGGUGUGAUUGGAAUUAUAGGUUAUGGCAUCUGGCAUUGUUACUGGGAGUACGACCAUCUGAAAGGAAUACCUGGAUCUGACCUCACUGUUUAUGAUACUGGAUUCCAGAGGGACUUCAGAGUGUGCCUGCAGCUGAGGCAAACAUGGUUAGCAUUUAUGAAGCUGCCACAGGUGCUGCUGGUGCUGGGUGCCCCCAGCGGGGCCGGGCUCAGCGUCCCGGGGGUGCCACUGGAGCUGCUGGUGCUGGCCAGGAGUGUCGCCUAUGGCUGCUCCAGGGCCUUCCCCUUCAGACCAUGACCCUCGGCUUCCUCAUGCAGCACUUGAGGGGGACACGGGAAGAGGGGCGCUGCUGGUGGCUGGUUACAGGGUGUUACUGGGCACCCUCCUCUCCCCCCAUACCACCCCCGGGCUCAUCACCUUCCUCCAAGCAGCCAAUCUGCCCAUCAUCAUCCUCAGCAGGGAGGCAGAGGACCCACUCCUGACCUUGACCUUUGCCACGUCGGCCGCCUGCAAUGGGCUCCUAUUGGGGCAGCUGCUGUAUUAUGGGGGGGGGGGAGACCCCAAACCUCCCCCUCACCGCAAGGUGGACUGACCCCAGAUCCCCCCAUAUCCCCCCCAAAGGAACUACCCGUGGGGGGUUAAAAAGAGGGGUUUUUGUGGGGUCAAACAUCCCCCCAUUAAUAAAAUGGGUUUUCACUGGU